CACACAUCAGAUGCUGCCAGUACAAGCCGGGGUCUGUGCUCCCAUGCCCUUAGGAGGCAGAGGCCGAGAGUGUUGGGAGGUCAAGGUCAUCUUCAACUACCAAGCAAGUUUGAGGCCAGCCAAGGCUCCAUGAGAUCCUUCCUCAAAACACCAAACUAAUAAACCUAGCUUCUCCUUUAUUGCUUUUGAGGUUCCAGAAAAUUAUAAGGAAUUGCUUGCUGGGGCUGCUCCCUCAAAAUAGUGAGGCAGUCAUAUAAUCAUUAUGUGAUUUAUUUUUACAUGAUUUUCUGAAACUACAAGACAUGGUUAAAUGCUCAUUUUUAUGUGUCUGCAGGUUGGUAUCAUGAGAGACCGUCUGGUUCAGUUCCUUACUAAGGUGCAGUUUGCUGUGACUGUACUUUUGGCAUCAUGGACGGAGAAGAAGCAGCAUAGAAAACUGACGACAACUUUGUGUGUUCUCAACGCCAUAUUUGCUCCCCUUGUGCUGAUUAUUAUAGUUGUCUCAACAGUGCUGUCCUCUCCUCUACUGCCUCUCUUCACACUGCCUGUUUUCUUGGUGGGGUUCCCUCGUCCAGUUCAGAGCUGGCCAGGAGCAGUGGGCACUGCAGCUUGUGUGUGCACAGACACGGUGUUCUACCAGCAGAUGGUCCCCAGGCUGACUUCAGCACUGCAGACUGCAAUGGCCGCUGGAAGUUUAGGU
rnacentral:lncRNA from 1 species